rnacentral:rRNA from 1 species
ACUCCUACGGGAGGCAGCAGUGGGGAAUAUUGCACAAUGGGGGAAACCCUGAUGCAGCCAUGCCGCGUGUGUGAAGAAGGCCUUCGGGUUGUAAAGCACUUUCAGUAGGGAGGAAGGUAGUGUAGUUAACACCUGCAUUAUUUGUACGUUACCUACAGAAGAAGCACCGGCUAACUCCGUGCCAGCAGCCGCGGUAAGUACGGAGGGUGCGAGCGUUAAUCGGAAUUACUGGGCGUAAAGCGCAUGCAGGCGGCCUGUUAAGUCAGAUGUGAAAGCCCGGGGCUUAACCUCGGAAUUGCAUUUGAAACUGGCAGGCUAGAGUCUUGUAGAGGGGUUAGAAUUUCGAGGUGUAGCGGUGAAAUGCGUAGAGAUCGUG